CUGAUGACAGGUACUGUUUUUCUAUGGUGAUGAUGACCUUGUGUUCAGUGCUUUAUUCACUCUGCUUUUAGAAGUCUGAAGUGUAGCAGUUUUUUUGUGAGCUUUGCCCGACUCAUUAUUUUAUUUUUUGCCCCUCCGCCCAUGUCUGCAGAGCUGUGCUUUGUUGGCUGAAGAGAGGGGUGGCGUAACUUGAGAGCGGGCCAAAGAAGACUGAAGAGAGAGAGAAGCCAAAGCAAGGCCAGCAGAAGAGAGUGAGAGGAUCCUGUAGGUCCAACUUAGCCUCCUGAGCCCAGCCUGCUCAGAUGUGCUGUAUCUCUUGACCAGAGCUCCACCCAUCAACUUCCUGGAUUAAAAGGGAACGGCCACAGCCAACAAAGGUAAAAAGAACAAGGAAGAAGAACACAGGAAUUACAACAUGGCCCUUCCCGGUGUUGCCAGCCACCUCCUUCUCAUGGUCCAGAAUGGACAGACGGAUCAACACAUCUGGCUUGGAAGUCUGAAACUGAAUUGUUCCUAGGACGUCUGCCGUCACCUGCACAUUGUAACUGUGGAAAAAAAGUUUCAAAUGAUUGUGGGUACCAUUAGCCUCUCAGAGUACCCCUCAUGUUGUCUUAUGUUAAGAGCACAUACAUUACUAAACCUUAUAAGGUUUAGUAAUGUAUGUGCUCUUUGAAUAUUGUCACACCUUGUUUCUAAUUAUCAAACAUGCAUAUACUGUACUGCAAGUAAGAAUACGUUAGUUACUGGAUCAAAUUAUUUGUAUGAUACAUCCUCAGCAACAAUUAAUUUCAGUUGACCAGUAUAAAACCUAUGAUGAUUAUUCUACUUAACUUUUCAAUCAAAUCUAUGCCCUAUAAUUCUCUUACCGACAUAUGAGGUUUUUCUCAUUGGGAAUAUAAUAAUUCCGGAACUCCUUCACUGAGAAGGUGUUGAGUGGAGUCUCAUGGGACAGUUUUGGAAGGACUUCACUUGAGCUGAUCAAGCGCAUCUUCCACUUGGCACCAACAGGGGGUGAUUCAGGUGCGACAGCCUCUGCUACAAAGGUAUACCCAAGCUGGAACAAGAGAUACAGAGAGAUUUAACAAUAAAAUCUGUCUGUCUUUCACACUCAAUAAAGAGUGUGAAAGACAGAUGGAAAUAGGUUAAGCACAACAAGGAGAAAUGCUGAUUUACUGUUUUCUUUUAGGAUUUGUUUCAUGUAUAAUACUAGAAAUUAUUACACCAGGUAGCCACAGCUGGUCGCCAAACAGUCAAGUUUGUACCUAGUUUUCGAUUAAGUCAGGCAGGAAGCACAUAAAAUAUGUCAAGUAUGUGAACAUUUGAAGUGCAAUGACAGACCUUGUUAGGUUGAUAGACACUGGGUGCUGCUUUGUUGAAGACCAUGUCCAGCUCCUUUCCUGUGUCAUUAUUUACAAUGUGCAGCAGACAAUUAGGGAUUGGGCAGUAGACCUUUGGUACCAGCAGCAUCUCCUUAGGAACCAGGAAUACCUCUCUUAACAAACAACACAAGUAAAACCAAGUUAUAAAAGGUCUGACUAAAUUGUCAAGUAGUUUUCCGCUGUUUAUUGUUGAAAUUCUGAAAUGCCAUCUUACAUUUAUAUUAGCUUUACUGGCAGGAAUGAGAGUUCAGACAGUAUGACAUUUGGUGAGAAGGAGACAUCAGUAAUUUUACACCUGGAUUCACACACAUUUUCCAAACCAGGUUGGGAAUUCUCUUUUGCUGACAAUCCUAACCUUCAAGCUACAGUGUUCUCUAACCUAAAGACCAAAACCCAGGAAUCGGCUGUGUCUUGAAGAGGGACAGAGUAGUCAGCGAACGUUAUUCUAGUCCACUCAUCUUGCUGACAGGGGUAGAGCUCUGCUGUACUCUCAGAGUGGUCAAUGAUAUACCUGUGCAAAAAACACAGAGGGGCAGAGCACAUAUACAAACGUCAAUUUUAAACAAAGUAUUAAAACCACGUGAAUAGUAAGAAGGCUGUCACUAAAUCUAUUACCAGCAAAAAAUUUACUCAAACUUUUUUAAUAAUAUUUCUGAUGUAGUGGAUAAUGAAUAAAAUCACUGGAGGAAAGUAGAUGCA